UUCAGUUUUUGUGGAUCGUCGGAUCGCUGAUGCUGGACGCAUCUCUGCUUGAGUUCCCGAAAUGUCUGGGCCAUUUGAAAACGAUAGCCUGUGGAAUGUGGAAUGUGUGGAGGAAAUAAUAUGCUAAAUGGUUUUCGGAGUAGGAUUUGUAUAUCUCAAAAAGUGCUUACAUAACGGAAAAACGCUGCGAGAGGAGUCUCACAUUUGCAGAGAUUUGCAGAGUGUAAAACGAGUCUUAUAUGUACAUAUCAGUUCGUCCCGACAAUCAUUUCUGCGACCCAUCAUUUCUGCGGCGUCUCAUUCUGUAAAUUUGUCACGUAAUCAAAUAUGAAAUUAUACCAAAAAUAAAUUGCAU